CGCGCGACGGUGGUGAACCCUUCCGAGGUUC
rnacentral:sRNA from 1 species